UGUAGCAAUACAUAGUGGCGCACGGGUGAGUAACGCGUGGGAACGUGCCUUUUGGUUCGGAAUAACGUCGGGAAACUGACGCUAAUGCCGGAUAUUCUCUACGGAGGAAAGAUUUAUCGCCAAAAGAUCGGCCCGCGUUAGAUUAGGUAGUUGGUGGGGUAAAGGCCUACCAAGCCUACGAUCUAUAGCUGGUCUGAGAGGGUGAUCAGCCACACUGGAACUGAGACACGGUCCAGACUCCUACGGGAGGCAGCAGUGGGGAAUAUUGGACAAUGGGCGAAAGCCUGAUCCAGCCAUGCCGCGUGAGUGAUGAAGGCCUUAGGGUUGUAAAGCUCUUUUGUCAGGGAAGAUGAUGACGGUACCUGAAGAAUAAGCACCGGCUAACUUCGUGCCAGCAGCCGCGGUAAUACGAAGGGUGCUAGCGUUGUUCGGAAUCACUGGGCGUAAAGCGCGCGUAGGUGGCUUUUCAAGUCAGAGGUGAAAUCCCUGGGCUCAACCCAGGAACUGCCUUUGAAACUGUAAAGCUUGAGUGUUGGAGGGGAUAGCGGAAUUGCUAAUGUAGAGGUGAAAUUCGUAGAUAUUAGCAGGAACACCGGUGGCGAAGGCGGCUAUCUGGACAACAACUGACACUGAGGCGCGAAAGUGUGGGGAUCAAACAGGAUUAGAUACCCUGGUAGUCCACACCGUAAACGAUGGAUGCUAGCCGUUGGGGGGAUACCUCUCAGUGGCGCAGCUAACGCGUUAAGCGUCCCGCCUGGGGAGUACGGUCGCAAGAUUAAAACUCAAAGAAAUUGACGGGGACCCGCACAAGCGGNGGAACAUGUGGUUUNAUUCGAGGCAACGCGAANANCNUUACCAGNACUCGACAUGCCCUCUAUGG
rnacentral:rRNA from 1 species